rnacentral:rRNA from 1 species
UACGGGAGGCAGCAGUGGGGAAUAUUGCACAAUGGGCGCAAGCCUGAUGCAGCCAUGCCGCGUGUAUGAAGAAGGCCUUCGGGUUGUAAAGUACUUUCAGUCGUGAGGAGGUGUUAAGGUUAAUAACCUUAGCAAUUGACGUUAGCGACAGAAGAAGCACCGGCUAACUCCGUGCCAGCAGCCGCGGUAAUACGGAGGGUGCGAGCGUUAAUCGGAAUUACUGGGCGUAAAGGGCACGCAGGCGGUUAAUUAAGUUGGAUGUGAAAUCCCCGGGCUUAACCUGGGAAUGGCAUUCAAGACUGGUUAGCUAGAGUCUUGUAGAGGGGGUAGAAUUCCAUGUGUAGCGGUGAAAUGCGUAGAGAUGUGGAGGAAUACCGGUGGCGAAGGCGGCCCCUGGGACAAAGACUGACGCUCAUGUGCGAAAGCGUGGGGAGCAAACGAGGGAUUAGAUACC